rnacentral:tRNA from 1 species
UUAAUAGAAGCCAAAAAGAGGCUAUUCACUGUUAAUGAAUUAAUUGUAUUUUCCUAUUAGA